rnacentral:rRNA from 14 species
GCCCCUUCGACGAGUCGAGUUGUUUGGGAAUGCAGCUCUAAAUGGGAGGUAAAUUUCUUCUAAAGCUAAAUACUGGCCAGAGACCGAUAGCGCACAAGUAGAGUGAUCGAAAGAUGAAAAGCACUUUGGAAAGAGAGUCAAAUAGCACGUGAAAUUGUUGAAAGGGAAGCGCUUGCAGCCAGACUUGCCUGUAGUUGCUUACC